rnacentral:tmRNA from 1 species
GGGGCUGCACUGGUUUCGACGUGGGUUCGGACGCGCAGCAGGGCAUGUCGAGGUUCUGUCACCUCGUAAAACAGCAGAAAAAACCUAACUGCAAACGACGAACGUUUCGCACUCGCCGCUUAAUUGCGCGUGAGCCUCGCAACAGCAAGCCAAUAGGCUGGGCAAGGGUGGUGGAGCCGCAAGGUUGCACCGUCCAGGCUGCGGGGUAACUUCAUUUGGCUGGGCGCUCACUGGGUAACUUAGUGGGCUCCGAGAAAAUAGGUUACUGGCGUUUUGCAUAGCGUGCCACUGCGCGAUGCAAAAGGCGAGACUUAAACCAGACGGCUACACAUGUAGAACUGUUCGAAGAAGGCUUGCGGACGGGGGUUCAAAUCCCCCCAGCUCCACCA